rnacentral:rRNA from 1 species
CCUACGGGAGGCAGCAGUAGGGAAUAUUGCGCAAUGGAGGAAACUCUGACGCAGCGACGCCGCGUGGGUGACGAAGGCUUUCGGGUCGUAAAGCCCUGUCGGAAGGGAAGAAAAACGGUAUGGCUAAUAUCCAUACCGCUUGACGGUACCUUCAGAGGAAGCACCGGCUAACUACGUGCCAGCAGCCGCGGUAAUACGUAGGGUGCUAGCGUUGUUCGGAAUCAUUGGGCGUAAAGCGCGUGUAGGUGGUUUGUUAAGUCGGGUGUGAAAUCCCUGGGCUCAACCGAGGAAGUGCAUCCGAAACUAACAAGCUAGAAGAUGGCAGAGGAAGGUGGAAUUCCAAGUGUAGAGGUGAAAUUCGUAGAUAUUUGGAGGAAUACCGGUGGCGAAGGCGGCCUUCUGGACCAUUCUUGACACUGAGACGCGAAAGCGUGGGGAGCAAACAGGAUUAGAUACCCUGGUAGUCCACGCUGUAAACGAUGGGUACUAGAUGUUGCAGAGUAGUACCUCGCAGUGUCGACGCUACGACAUAAGUACCCGUCCGUCGGAGUACGGUCGCGAGAAUAAACGUUAAACGUAAGUUAGACGGCGUGAGACGUACGCCGACGGACGACGACGAGGGAGGUUAGGAG